UGCGGAGGGGGCUAGCGUUGUUCGGAAUUACUGGGCGUAAAGCGCGCGUAGGCGGCCUUGCAAGUUAGAGGUGAAAGCCCGGGGCUCAACUCCGGAAUUGCGUUUAAGACUGGAUCGCUAGAAUUGUGGAGAGGUAAGUGGAAUUCCGAGUGUAGAGGUGAAAUUCGUAGAUAUUCGGAAGAACACCAGUGGCGAAGGCGACUUACUGGACACAUAUUGACGCUGAGGUGCGAAAGCGUGGGGAGCAAACAGG
rnacentral:rRNA from 1 species